GCCAGGUGUGGUGGCUCAUGCCUGCAAUUCCAGCUUUGGAAGGCUGAGGCAGGAGGAUUACUUGAGCCUAGGAAUUCAAGGCUGCAGUGAGCUGUGAUUGUGCCACUGCACUCCAGCCCAGGCAAUAAAGUGAGACCCUGUCUCAA
ensembl:misc_RNA Metazoa_SRP Metazoan signal recognition particle RNA